CCAAACUGUUGCCUCGGCGGGAUCUCUGCCCCGGGUGCGUCGCAGCCCCGGACCAAGGCGCCCGCCGGAGGACCAACCAAAACUCUUUUUGUAUACCCCCUCGCGGGUUUUUUAUAAUCUGAGCCUUCUCGGCGCCUCUCGUAGGCGUUUCGAAAAUGAAUCAAAACUUUCAACAACGGAUCUCUUGGUUCUGGCAUCGAUGAAGAACGCAGCGAAAUGCGAUAAGUAAUGUGAAUUGCAGAAUUCAGUGAAUCAUCGAAUCUUUGAACGCACAUUGCGCCCGCCAGUAUUCUGGCGGGCAUGCCUGUCCGAGCGUCAUUUCAACCCUCGAACCCCUCCGGGGGGUCGGCGUUGGGGAUCGGCCCUGCCUUGGCGGUGGCCGUCUCCGAAAUACAGUGGCGGUCUCGCCGCAGCCUCUCCUGCGCAGUAGUUUGCACACUCGCAUCGGGAGCGCGGCGCGUCCACAGCCGUUAAACACCCAACUUCUGAAAUGUUGACCUCGGAUCAGGUAGGAAUACCCGCUGAACUUAAGCAUAUCAAUAAGUCGGAGGAAUCUC
rnacentral:rRNA from 1 species